rnacentral:rRNA from 1 species
CCUGCUCAAUGACCCUAAAUAGCCGCUUCUCGGUGCUAAGGUAGCAUAAUCAUUUGUCUUAUAAUUGAAGAAUAGAAUGAAUGGAUAAACGAGCAAAUUCCUUUAUCUCAAUUAUUUUAAUAAAAUUUAUAUAAUAGUAAAAAAGCUAUUUCAACAAGAAUAGACGACAAGACCCUUUAGAACUUCACUUAAAGUUUAGCUGGGGUGGCUAAUUUAUUUAAACUAAUCUUUAUUAUAUUAACAUCUUUAUAAAUAUUUAUAAAAAGUUACCUAAGGGAUAACAGUGUAAUAAAGCUUUUAAGAUCUUAUUUAAAGCUUAGAUUACAACCUCGAUGUUGAAUUACUAAACUUUUAUUAGAAAAUUACUAAAAAGUAAGUCUGUUCGACUUUUAAUUAAGUACAU